UAGCUUGUGCUCAGUUAAAUGAGAGAAUACUGCACUCAUGAGAAUUAUUUUUAUUUUUGCUGAAAAAUAAUAUUUUUGUUAUUUCAGUGAUCUUUCGAUUAAAACUUAUUACAUUUAAUUUUAAAUUAUUUUAAAUAUUUUCUAACCAGUAUAUUUAAAAAAAGUGUUUUUCUUAGCAGUUAAACAAGCCCUUUAUAAUUUUGACUAUCUAUAUAUAUAUAUGUAGAGGGGUCCAUUCUUUUCUCCAAAUGGAUUCUGUAUACAUUGAUUCAUUCUGGAAGCAAAAGGAAGGAGGGAGUGUUGUGAUGUGGGAGAGUAAUGGUGGUAAAAAUAGGUUCUUAUCCUAGGUAUGAGAGGAUUCACCCUGAUUCUUGGCAGCCAAACAAUUCAAUUAUAUGUGUGUUUGUUUUUUGAGAUCCAUCUGUGUUUUUGCCAUAUAAAAGGAUUGGCAGAUCAGGGCUUUUCGCUUUGUAUUUUUAAAUGGAAU
rnacentral:misc_RNA from 1 species